GACGAACGCUGGCGGCGUGCUUAACACAUGCAAGUCGAACGGAAAGGCCCUGCUCUUGUGGGGUGCUCGAGUGGCGAAAGGGUGAGUAACACGUGAGUAACCUGCCCUUGACUUUGGGAUAACUUCAGGAAACUGGGGCUAAUACCGGAUAGGAGCUCCUGCUGCAUGGUGGGGGUUGGAAAGUUUCGGCGGUUGGGGAUGGACUCGCGGCUUAUCACCUUGUUGGUGUGGUAGUGGCUUACCAAGGCUUUGACGGGUAGCCGGCCUGAGAGGGUGACCGGGCACAUGAGGACUGAGAUACGGACCAGACGCGUACGGGAGGCAGCAGUGGGGAGUAUUGCACAAUGGGCGGAAGCCUGAUGCAGCAACGCCGCGUGCGGGAUGACGGCCUUAGGGUUGUAAACCGCUUUCGCCUGUGACGAAGCGUGAGUGACGGUAAUGGGUAAAGAAGCACCGGCUAACUACGUG
rnacentral:rRNA from 1 species